rnacentral:rRNA from 1 species
GUCGAGAAUCUUUCACAAUGGGGGCAACCCUGAUGGAGCGACGCCGCGUGGAGGAUAAGGUCUUCGGAUUGUAAACUCCUGUCAUGCGUGAACAAGGUUGCUUGGUUAAUACCUGGGCAAAUUGAUGGUAACGCAAGAGGAAGAGACGGCUAACUCUGUGCCAGCAGCCGCGGUAAUACAGAGGUCUCAAGCGUUGUUCGGAAUCACUGGGCGUAAAGGGUGCGUAGGUGGCGUGGUAAGUCAGAUGAGAAAACCCAGGGCUCAACCGCGGAACUGCAUCCGAUACUGCCAUGCUAGAGUACUGGAGAGGUGACUAGAAUUCUCGGUGUAGCAGUGAAAUGCGUAGAUAUCGAGAGGAAUACCAAAGGCGUAGGCAGGUCACUGGACAGUUACUGACACUGAGGCACGAAGGCCAGGGGAGCGAACGGGAUUAGAAACCCUUGUAGUCC